rnacentral:rRNA from 1 species
UAGGGAAUCUUCGGCAAUGGACGACAGUCUGACCGAGCAACGCCGCGUGAGUGAAGAAGGUUUUCGGAUCGUAAAACUCUGUUGUUAGAGAAGAACAAGGACGUUAGUAACUGAACGUCCCCUGACGGUAUCUAACCAGAAAGCCACGGCUAACUACGUGCCAGCAGCCGCGGUAAUACGUAGGUGGCAAGCGUUGUCCGGCUUUAUUGGGCGUAAAGCGAGCGCAGGCGGUUUCUUAAGUCUGAUGUGAAAGCCCCCGGCUCAACCGGGGAGGGUCAUUGGAAACUGGGGGACAUGAGUGCAGAAGAGGAGAGUGGAAUUCCAUGUGUAGCGGUGAAAUGCGUAGAUAUAUGGAGGAACGCCAGUGGCGAAGGCGGCUCUCUGGUCUGAAACUGACGCUGAGGCUCGAAAGCGUGGGGAGCAAACAGG